CCUACGGGUGGCAGCAGUGAGGAAUAUUGGUCAAUGGGCGCGAGCCUGAACCAGCCAAGUCGCGUGAGGGAAGACGGACCUAUGGAUUGUAAACCUCUUUUGUCGGGGAGCAAAAGACGCCACGCGUGGCGUUCCGAGAGUACCCGAAGGAAAAGCAUCGGCAAACUCCGUGCCAGAAGCCGCGGUAAUACGGAGGAUGCGGGCGUUAUCCGGUUUUAUGGGGUUUAACGGGUGCGCAGGCGGAAGAUCAAGUCGACGGUAAAAUUGAGAGGCCAAACCUCUUCGAGCCGUUGAAACUGGUUUUCUUGAGUGAGCGAGAAGUAUGCGGAAUGCGUGGUGUAGCGGUGAAAUGCAUAGAUAUCACGCAGAACUCCGAUUGCGAAGGCAGCAUACCGGCGCUCAACUGACGCUGAUGCACGAAAGUGUGGGUAUCGAACAGGAUUAGAUACCCCUGUAGUC
rnacentral:rRNA from 1 species